rnacentral:rRNA from 1 species
UACGUAGGCAGCAAGCGUUGUUCGGAGUUACUGGGCGUAAAGGGUGCGUAGGCGGCUCUAUAAGUAUGGUGUGAAAUCUCCCGGCUUAACUGGGAGGGUGCGCCGUAGACUGUGGGGCUAGAGUGUGGGAGAGGAAAGUGGAAUUCCUGGUGUAGCGGUGAAAUGCGUAGAUAUCAGGAGGAACACCGGUGGUGUAAACGGCUUUCUGGACUAUAACUGACGCUGAGGCACGAAAGCGUGGGUAGCAAACAGG